AGAGUUGAUCCUGGCUCAGGAUGAACGCUAGCUACAGGCUUAACACAUGCAAGUCGAGGGGCAUCAUGGAGUUUGCUUGCAAACUCUGAUGGCGACCGGCGCACGGGUGAGUAACGCGUAUCCAACCUUCCCUAUAGUAGAGGAUAGCCCGGCGAAAGUCGGAUUAAUACUCUAUGUUUUCCGUUGCAGACAUCUAAGAUGGAACAAAGGCUUGCCGCUAUAGGAUGGGGGAUGCGUCUGAUUAGGUAGUCGGCGGGGUAACGGCCCACCGAGCCAUCGAUCAGUAGGGGUUCUGAGAGGAAGGUCCCCCACAUUGGAACUGAGACACGGUCCAAACUCCUACGGGAGGCAGCAGUGAGGAAUAUUGGUCAAUGGGCGAGAGCCUGAACCAGCCAAGUAGCCGUGCAGGACGACGGCCCUAUGGGUUGUAAACUGCUUUUAUGCGGGGAUAAAGUUCACUACGUGUAGUGUUUUGUAGGUACCGCAUGAAUAAGGACCGGCUAAUUCCGUGCCAGCCGCAGC
rnacentral:rRNA from 1 species